rnacentral:rRNA from 1 species
UACGUAGGGUGCGAGCGUUGUCCGGAAUUAUUGGGCGUAAAGAGCUUGUAGGCGGUUGUCGCGUCUGCUGUGAAAAUCCGGGGCUCAACCCCGGACUUGCAGUGGGUACGGGCAGACUAGAGUGUGGUAGGGGAGACUGGAAUUCCUGGUGUAGCGGUGAAAUGCGCAGAUAUCAGGAGGAACACCGAUGGCGAAGGCAGGUCUCUGGGCCGACUACUGACGCUGAGAAGCGAAAGCGUGGGAGCGAACAGG